GGGGACCAAAGUUGGGUGGGAGUAGUGAUUCAUGUGCUGAGAGUGGGGAAAGUUUUGAAAGUAGGAGGACCAGGGAUACAGAUAGCCCAUUGGGAAGUGAAGGGGUUUUGGGGGUAGAAUUUGAGGAUGAAGAGGUGAGAAAUAUCAAGGCUUAGUAUAAAAAAUAUAAAGGCAAGAAAAAUAACCAAAGAAAAAGAGAAAAUAGGGUUAGCAGUGAGGGUCUAAAGGUAGGCGAAGGUAGUGAAAAAGGAGAGAAAAAUGGUGAGGUUUUAGAUCCAUCAGGGGGAACAAAUUAUGUUGAUUUAUCAAAUUUGGGGUCUUA
rnacentral:lncRNA from 1 species